rnacentral:rRNA from 1 species
AUGCAAAAAACUUUUCAAACAGGUGUGCCUGCAAUGGAACAUUGGAUUUCAGCAAUAUUAUUGGUUCUGCAUACAAGGAUACUAUCAAAUGGAGUUGAAAUUGUAGCUGCGUUAAGUUUGGUGACAUUUGCAAAGGAUUGGUUGAAAGAACAGAGUCACAAUACAGGAAAAUGUUGUUCUCCUGUUUUUGACUGCAUCCUUGUGCCGUCGUUACAAGCGAUUUCCCUUCACUACAGCCCCUUUCAUGUCGUCGUUACAAGAGAUUUCACAGUUUCCCCUUGUUACCAUGUUCUCAGUUAA